AGAGUUUGAUCCUGGCUCAGAUUGAACGCUGGCGGCAGGCCUAACACAUGCAAGUCGAGCGGCAGCACGGGAAGCUUGCUUCCUGGUGGCGAGCGGCGGACGGGUGAGUAAUGCAUAGGAAUCUGCCCGGUAGUGGGGGAUAACCUGGGGAAACCCAGGCUAAUACCGCAUACGCCCUACGGGGGAAAGCAGGGGCUCUUCGGACCUUGCGCUAUCGGAUGAGCCUAUGUCGGAUUAGCUGGUUGGUGAGGUAAUGGCUCACCAAGGCGACGAUCCGUAGCUGGUCUGAGAGGAUGAUCAGCCACAUCGGGACUGAGACACGGCCCGAACUCCUACGGGAGGCAGCAGUGGGGAAUAUUGGACAAUGGGCGCAAGCCUGAUCCAGCCAUGCCGCGUGUGUGAAGAAGGCCCUCGGGUUGUAAAGCACUUUCAGUGGGGAAGAAAGCCUGGUGGUUAAUACCCGUCAGGAAGGACAUCACCCACAGAAGAAGCACCGGCUAACUCCGUGCCAGCAGCCGCGGUAAUACGGAGGGUGCGAGCGUUAAUCGGAAUUACUGGGCGUAAAGCGCGCGUAGGUGGCUUGAUAAGCCGGUUGUGAAAGCCCCGGGCUCAACCUGGGAACGGCAUCCGGAACUGUCAGGCUAGAGUGCAGGAGAGGAAGGUAGAAUUCCCGGUGUAGCGGUGAAAUGCGUAGAGAUCGGGAGGAAUACCAGUGGCGAAGGCGGCCUUCUGGACUGACACUGACACUGAGGUGCGAAAGCGUGGGUAGCAAACAGGAUUAGAUACCCUGGUAGUNCACGCCGUAAACGAUGUCGACUAGCCGUUGGGUCCUUCGCGGACUUUGUGGCGCAGUUAACGCGAUAAGUCGACCGCCUGGGGAGUACGGCCGCAAGGUUAAAACUCAAAUGAAUUGACGGGGGCCCGCACAAGCGGUGGAGCAUGUGGUUUAAUUCGAUGCAACGCGAAGAACCUUACCUACCCUUGACAUCCUGCGAACCCUUCGGAGACGAAGGGGUGCCUUCGGGAACGCAGAGACAGGUGCUGCAUGGCUGUCGUCAGCUCGUGUUGUGAAAUGUUGGGUUAAGUCCCGUAACGAGCGCAACCCUUGUCCUUAUUUGCCAGCGAGUAAUGUCGGGAACUCUAAGGAGACUGCCGGUGACAAACCGGAGGAAGGUGGGGACGACGUCAAGUCAUCAUGGCCCUUACGGGUAGGGCUACACACGUGCUACAAUGGUCGGUACAAAGGGUUGCGAACUUGCGAAAGUGAGCUAAUCCCAGAAAGCUGAUCUCAGUCCGGAUCGGAGUCUGCAACUCGACUCCGUGAAGUCGGAAUCGCUAGUAAUCGUGAAUCAGAAUGUCACGGUGAAUACGUUCCCGGGCCUUGUACACACCGCCCGUCACACCAUGGGAGUGGACUGCACCAGAAGUGGUUAGCCUAACCUUCGGGAGGGCGAUCACCACGGUGUGGUUCAUGACUGGGGUGAAGUCGUAACAAGGUAGCCGUAGGGGAACCUGCGGCUGGAUCACCUCCUU
rnacentral:rRNA from 1 species